GCGACUUAUAUUCUGUAGCAAGGUUAACCGUAUAGGGGAGCCGCAGGGAAACCGAGUCUUAACUGGGCGUUAAGUUGCAGGGUAUAGACCCGAAACCCGGUGAUCUAGCCAUGGGCAGGUUGAAGGUUGGGUAACACUAACUGGAGGACCGAACCGACUAAUGUUGAAAAAUUAGCGGAUGACUUGUGGCUGGGGGUGAAAGGCCAAUCAAACCGGGAGAUAGCUGGUUCUCCCCGAAAGCUAUUUAGGUAGCGCCUCGUGAAUUCAUCUUCGGGGGUAGAGCACUGUUUCGGCUAGGGGGUCAUCCCGACUUACCAACCCGAUGCAAACUACGAAUACCGAAGAAUGUUAUCACGGGAGACACACGGCGGGUGCUAACGUCCGUCGUGAAGAGGGAAACAACCCAGACCGCCAGCUAAGGUCCCAAAGUCAUGGUUAAGUGGGAAACGAUGUGGGAAGGCACAGACAGCCAGGAUGUUGGCUUAGAAGCAGCCAUCAUUUAAAGAAAGCGUAAUAGCUCACUGGUCGAGUCGGCCUGCGCGGAAGAUGUAACGGGGCUAAACCAUGCACCGAAGCUGCGGCAGCGACACUAUGUGUUGUUGGGUAGGGGAGCG
rnacentral:rRNA from 1 species